UUUUGCGUCCAUACUACCUUGAACGCGCUCGAUCUCGUCUGAUCUAGUAAGGUAAGCAGGGUCGGGCUUGUUUAGUACUUGGAUGGGAGACCGCCUGGGAAUACCGGGCGGUGUAGGCU
rnacentral:rRNA from 1 species